UGGGACGAGUCGGGGAACGGAGUGACGGUCCAGAUGAUAGCAUUAGUAGUUCUCACUAUUCUGUUAAAUAGUGUGAUAAUAAAUGUAACGAGGACUGAAUUUGAGUUUGUAUACUGUCUAUGAGGACUCCAUUGAGAAUGGAUAUUGUCUAGAAGGCAGUAUUCUUGUUUAAACUCUCAGUUUAUGUUUUGUCGUAUUUUACACGACAGCUGUAUAGUUAAAUUUGUAUUUGUAUUGUGUACCAUGUAUUUGGCGACUCAAGAUGGGUGAUUAAUACCUAAUUUUGGGGGUGUCACAGAAACCGCACCGCACGAUUCAAAAUUAAACCGCACCAAUCACAAACGAUUUCAUGUACGAUUUUAAAUUUGUUAAAUCACACUUAAGCAAUUUUGUGUGCGAUUUAAGUUUCAAACCACAUCAAACUGCACUAUUAUCACCCUUAAUUAGACUAGAGUACAACUACUAUUUUCUUUUAGUACCCCA
rnacentral:lncRNA from 1 species